AGCUGGGCGGGGCCACUGGAAAGGCCGGCAGGAGCAGGAGGAGGAGAGAAGCGCCAAAAUUCGGGGCCGAGGGUCGGGAUUUGGGUGGAUUUCGGAGCUCUCCCAUCCCCACGUCCCCCUCUGUCCCGCGGGGCUCCGGGCGGCCGUGACCCUGCUGGAGUCCGGGGGGGACCUCCAGCCCCCCGGGGGGUCCCUGCGCCUCCUCUGCCGCGCCUCGGGGUUCACUUUCGGCAGUUUCAACAUGGAUUGGGUCCGCCAGAGACCCGGGCAGGGGCUGGAAUUCAUGGCAGAGAUCCGGGAAAACGGUGCCAGUGCUUGGUACGCGCCGUCGGUCGAGGGCCGGGGGCGACGAUCUCCAGGACAACGGGCAGAGCUCGGUGACGCUGACCAUGAACGGCCUCAAGGACGAGGAUUCCGGCUCCUAUUUCUGUGCCAAAUCCUCCGGUGCCGGCGCCGGGUGUUGUUUCGCUGCUGAUUAUGUUGGCGGUGCCGGAGGUGUCCCCACUCCCACCUUUGUGGGCUGA